rnacentral:rRNA from 1 species
GACGAACGCUGGCGGCGUGCUUAACACAUGCAAGUCGAGCGGAGCGGCGAACGGGUGAGUAACGCGUGAGUAACGGCCCCCCUCUCUGGGAUAACAAUUGGAAACGGCUGCGAAUACCGGAAAGUGGGGGAUGACUCGGGUCCUAUCAGCUUGUUGGUGGGGUAGUGGCCUGCCAAGGGGACGACGGGUAGCCGGCCUGAGAGUGCGACCGGCCCCAUUGUGCUGAGAUGCCGCCCAAACUCCUACGUGAGGCAGCGGUGGGGAAUAUUGCACAAUGGGGGAAACGCUGAUGCAGCAACGCCGCGUGCGGGAUGACGGCCUUCGGGUUGUAAACCGCUUUCAGCCAUGACGCGGUAGUGGCAGAAGAAGCACCGGCUAACUACGUGCCAGCAGCCGCGGUAAUUC